UGGGGAAUUUUCCGCAAUGGGCGAAAGCCUGACGGAGCAAUACCGCGUGAGGGAGGAAGGCUCUUGGGUUGUAAACCUCUUUUCUCAGGGAAGAAAAAAAUGACGGUACCUGAGGAAUAAGCAUCGGCUAACUCCGUGCCAGCAGCCGCGGUAAUACGGAGGAUGCAAGCGUUAUCCGGAAUGAUUGGGCGUAAAGCGUCCGCAGGUGGCUAUGUAAGUCUGCUGUUAAAGAGCAAGGCUCAACCUUGUAAAGGCAGUGGAAACUACAUGGCUAGAGUGCGUUCGGGGCAGAGGGAAUUCCUGGUGUAGCGGUGAAAUGCGUAGAGAUCAGGAAGAACACCGGUGGCGAAAGCGCUCUGCUAGGCCGCAACUGACACUGAGGGACGAAAGCUAGGGGAGCGAAUG
rnacentral:rRNA from 1 species